rnacentral:snRNA from 1 species
AUACUUACCUGGCAGGGGAGACACCAUGAUCACUUAGUUGGUGUUCCCAGGGCGAGGCUCACCCAUUGCACUUGGGGAUGUGUUGACCUCUGUGAUUUCCCCAAAUGCAGGAAACUCGACUGCAUAAUUUCUGUUAGUGGGGGACUGCGUUCGCGCUCUCCCCUA